UUUGACUUUGUAACUCCAGAAAGGGUGGGAUAAAUGGUGACCUAGUCAGAGGACCAGAAGAACAGAGCAAGCAACGAGCACCAAGGGGGUACCUGAUGCAGUGAGAGCUACCUUCCAAGACACAAGGAGGUGUGCUAGUGGCAUAGACAAGAGAAUGACUAUGACACUGUCUUGGAUUUGGUCUCUGGCUGUGUGGGCAGCUUCAAAUCAUCCAGGUAAAGGAAAAUGUCCAAAUGGGAGGUGGGCUACUACCACUGACAUACACUUGGUGAAGACCCUCCGGGCUGAUGACAAACCAAAAGGGAGCACUGUGUACGGAUAGUGGCUGGUGCAUACAA